UUUGAGGUUUCAAGUGAGUGGCAGCGCGGGGCUCACAUGGGUUGUGGCAAACAAUGCUAUUCCAAAAGUAUGGAAGGCUGGAGUUGCUUAUGAGUCAGCAAUUCAGCUUGCAUAAAUUUGAGAUAUCCCAAGCUUUAUUAUGACUGGUUCCUGGUUAUCAGCUUCUUAAUGUCAUUUAGAUAUUCUAGUAUGUUGUUGCCCAGCAUCCGUGUCUCCUCAAAACUUAACUAGUUGCUAAAUAAAUAGUGGGAUUGUGUACUUUAAGAUCUUUUGAUCUAAGGAGAAAAUUAAUAAAAUUCAGCUCUCGUCAAAAUAAAACCGCUCAUACGCCUCGUUAGUGGUGUCUUUGUGGGUGUGUCUUAUUGAAUUUCUUGUGAUUGUUUAAAUAACUCCAUUAUAUUUCCUCUACUAACAGUAAUCAGUAAAAUUGAUGUAUUAUCAAACAAUAUACAUCGUCGAUAAUAUUUCUUAGUGAUUGCAACACGUUAAAAAAUAUAUUUCAAAUGUAAAAAUUGUAAAAUAAAUUGUCGAGCCAUUCCGUUUUAGAAUUGGAGAUUAGCCAAAUCUUUUGUCAAUUGUUUAUAAAAGUAUGAUAAAUAUCUACCAACUACUCUUUGUUUUGCACUUUAUAAAAAAUAUACUAAAACUUUUUUCUUUUGUGGCUAUCCACGUAAAGUUUACAAAAUUAUCACUUUUUUACUUUUUCAUUAACAUAAUUAAAGAUUUAAUAGAAUAUUAAUUAAACGACCACUAUAUCGUUAAAAUAUUAUUUAAUCCUAACUAGUAGCUAAAUGAUGAAAAAAAAUUCCAAUUUGUAGCUGUUGGAACCAAUAGCAGCUAUAAAUUUAGUUAGAUAAAUUCAUCAAACCUACUAAUUUAACAAUAUAAAAUCACCAAAAUAACCACCAUAACUAAUUUGUAAUUCAUUUGCAACAUAAAUUCAGAACCUCUGCUCAUAUAAUCCAUCCUAAAUAAUCUUUGACAACAAUAACAAGUCUUGGAAAGCAAUAAAUCACCAAUAAAAACAAUCAUAGUUAUCCAAAAUACAUUUUAAGGAAACAUAAAAGUAGUUAUAAAAAACUUUAAACAUUAUACCUUGCUUCCGUCGAUAAAAAAAGAACAAUGUAAAACCAAUUAUGAUGAAUAUAGAGUUUACAAUUUGUUUCCAUCAAUUCAAAAUUAAACAUAUUCUAAAAUUAUGUAAAACAACAAUUAAUAAAUAAUCUAUUUACAUUUAGGGAUAAAAUAGUUUUUUUAUCAAUAUCCUAUUAAAUCAUCUAAUGCUAUUAAUGGAAAAGUAGAAAAAUAAUAAAAAACUGCAAAAGAAAAGUUUUUGGCGUAUUUCUAAUAAAGCUUAGAAUAUAUUUACCAAUAAAACUACAUAUAAUAAAUUCUUCAACUAACGUACUACAUUAAUUUCAUCUUCAGCUCUUCCGGUAAGCACUGGCUAACGAAUGAUUUUAGGUACACCAUAAAAGGAAUCCAUUUCUCCUCUUUCGGAAGUGUUGUAGUCUUACAGGCAACGACCAGGACAGAACACCCCUUGGAAGCAUCAGAAUACUUACACAUAUUAAAGCAGCGACCUUUAACAGAAUUUGACAUUUGGCAUUGGAAGGGAAGAAUGCAUCAAACGAGGGCUGCAUUGACUGUGUAAAGUUCUCCAGAAUCAGAGCAACUGUGGGUAAAGGACCGUUAACUUGCACAAGUUAUCAGCUGUUUUUUUCAUUUUGACGCAGUUACUGGUUCGAGUCGUACAUGGGAGUAACAGUUUAUAUGCAUCCAUUAAAAAUCAGAUUAAUGGAACAAGUGAUAUGACUAACAGCAGGGCACUUAAAUUUAAAUGUAUUGUCCAACAAACAAAAUACAGCAUAAUGCAAUUUCACGGACGUACAUACAGACAGACACAUACAUCCUCAUAUUUGUGAGCAUAGGUGAGCCAGAAAGAUACUAGGACUUGGAACAAGUGAUAUAACUAACAGGGCACUUGAAUGUACCUUUCAGAUGAAAAUCAAAACUACUACUGUUAACCUCCCUCAGUACAACCGACCAGUGCAUUCUGAAGAACCACAAAAGCAACUCUUUUUCUUAAUGUUGCCAGAUGAAUCAUAAACUUGAUCUAUCACGUAAUUGUAAUGAUAAGUCAGCUCUUGCAGGGGAGGAAUGUUCUCAGCAGCAAAGAGCAUUAUGUGAGGCGUUCUCUUGUCCUCAUGAUCAUAAAGGACGUUUUGGGCAUAAAGAUUAGGCGAACAACUGUGGUUAACAAAUCUCCCCACAUUGCCAUACUCCACUGCAUCAAUGGUAAAUCCACCAUCCUCCACAACUCCACAAGAACUCAAUGGUGCAUCAGGCAUAACAUUCGAAAGUCCACCCCAAAGAGAACCAUCAUUAUAAUUAUUCCCAAUAUCAAAUAGAUACUCAUCAUUACUGGUUCUUCUUUCCGCUUCCUUCUCUUCAAGGAGCUCCCCCGCGUACUCACAGAUAAAACUUCCCGAAGGAAUGGAAUUUAGGGAUCUCACACCCCAUCCCCGUGCUUCAGUUUUGAAGAUCUCCAUCUGAAAUUUGAUACCCUGCUGGCUGACUCUAUUAUAGCAAGAAGCUUCAUUACUCUUUUUCAUUGUUUCACUGGCUUGCAUACAAAUACAACAUUAUGCAGGCUAAUUAGAUAAAAGGGAAUGGCUAGGGCCGACAGACGGAUGACGAGGAGCAUAGCUCACCUACCUCAUCUUCCAAAAAAUAGUAAUUUUCCAUUUAUUAAUUGUUCUACAAGCCUCCUCUCUCGUGCAAUAAGUACGUAUGAUUAAUGAGUGCUUCCGUCCCUAAUUGUUAUAGCUAAAUACGUUUGUCUGGCUUGACCCGUUUACUAGUGCGUUACAACCAAAAGACUGAUGGUGAUCGAGUGGGUUAAUCCAGUUGUUGUGAGCCUAUAGCAUUUGCUUUUGACUCGACAAAGCAAUUUAAAAAAACGCCAUUUUGGAUACCGGUACGUCACGUACUAAAUCCAAUUGCUUGGUGCGGUCUCCCUAUUAGCCUUCGGUUCUUGACUCAAUAAGUAAUUUCCAGCUAGUUUCAAUAGGUUUUAAUUCCACCAUUUACUUACCAUAAUGAUCGAGAAUAGGGAUGGCAAUGGGGUGAGGUGGAUGUGGAGAGGCUUAUCUUAUUCCUCAUUCUAUUAAAAAUGUCACCUCUAUUUUUCACCUCAUUCUCCAUUAAAUUUAGAGGAACGGGGACAAAAAAUCUUUAUAUGGGGAAUAAUUUCCUCAUUCCUAUCUCAUUACCCGUUUAUUUAUUUCAUAAUAAGUAUGGAUACGUGGUUUUAGUACAUUAAAAAUUAGAGACUUAAAUAAAAUUAUUAUCAUAUUAUAAAGUAUUUAAAUUAUUUUAAAAAAUUUCCAAAAUUUUGAAACAAUAUCAAAACUGAUAUCAAAACUGAAAAAUGUUUGGAGAGAGCAUCACUUAAUAAUGUUUUAGAGUUGAAUAAUAAUUAUAUUGUAAGGUUUUCUUUUAAUUAUAACCUGUUUAUAUUAGGUAAAAAUUAACAAGAAAAUUUGUUAACCGACAUUGUAUUUGAUAAAACAAAAAAUAUUAAAUAAAAAUUAAAAAAUAUUUAUAUUUAAAUGGAGAGUGAGGUGGUGGUGGGGUGGAGAAUACAAAACCAAAUCCCAUCCCAUUAAGAGUUUGAGGAUUAUUUAUCCCUCGUUUCCUACUCUAUUCCCUAAAAAUUAUUUAAACCCCAUGAGAACCAAACCCGUGUAAGAUUUUGCCAUCUCUAAUCGCGAAAUCUUGAGUUUUUCCUUGCACCCAAGUCACAAGGUGUGCGCUAUAAGAUCUUUUGGCAUAAUUCAACUGGUUGUAGAUAUUUUCACCCAAAUUCGAAUAGCAAUAAAGAAUAAUGAUUGUUAUUUAGUGGUUUAAGUUUUUCAUCUCCAUUCAAUUUUUAAAAUAAAUAAAUAAAUAGUUUAUGCUAUUAGAACGUCUAAACGAAGCAAACCCAGACCAGUAAUUAACAAUUACAAAACAAUUACUUGGUUGAUAAUAAUGGCAUGGGAGGUGAUUUUAUGAUUUUACUGCUAUUUCCUCUACUAACAGUAAUCAGUAAAAUUGAUGUAUUAUCAAACAAUAUAAAUCGUCGAUAAUAUUUCUUGGUGAUUGCAACAUGUUAAAAAAUAUUUUUCAAACUGCUGUACGGCCAAGGCGGAUGUACGGUACAGCAGUUAUGAUAAUGAGUCCAAUUCAAUUCAAAUAAGGGUCUUGAGGGGUCGAUAAUGGGGUCUACAUUUACGCAUCAUCAAUCUAAUCUAACUCUCUAGUCCCAAGACGAAGAAAAGAGGUGGCAAUUUCCCCUUAGCUGCAGCCCUCAAGGCUUCUACUAUAAAUAUGGCCAUUAACAUUUGUUAGCAACCCAUCUCAGAAGCAUCCUCCUUCGUACUGCUAGCAAAGAUUUUGAUAUUUUGCAAAUGGGGUUAUGUCAAUACUACCUUCUUUCCGUCGUGCUGCUUUUGCCUGCAUUGUGUUACUCUCAGUUCACAUUCACAAGUUCUAGAGCUUCAUUCUAUGGUAGCCCUGACGGCUUGGGGACACCAGGUAUGUAAAAAUCUCACCUUUAUAAAGCUAUGUACAUUAAACUCGUGCACAAGUUGACGCGAACGAAUCGUUCAUUUCAUUAUGCUUUAGAGAAUUUUUGUUUUGGUAUUUGUUUAUCUUUUAGAUUAACUAAUGUUCAUGUCGAUGAUUCAUCAGCUGGUGCUUGCGGGUUUGGUGCAUAUGGAAAAACUGUAAAUGAUGCUAACGUGGCCGGUGUGUCGAACCUUUGGAAUAAUGGAACUGCUUGUGGAACUUGCUAUCAGGUACUGAUUAUUAACUUUCAACCCACUCAAUCAUUGCAGUUUAUUGUAAAGCUAUAUAAUAAAUGUGUAAAAUGAACGAAUUGCUAAGACGGGUAAGCCUAUGCAUGCGUGAAAGGAACUUGAAAACUUUAUUUAUUUAAAUUGUAUUGUUUAUAUAUAUAUGUAAGUAGUUGCAUGCAUAUUCUUCGUAAGACUGCUUAAAUCAUUUCAAAUUCAACAUCGUCAACAAUUUUAUUACCACUAGUAAUUCUUUAGGUUUUGUACCAUCAAUUAAUAAUGAUUAGUUAAUUAAUUAACUUCAGGUCAGAUGCAAUGUACCAGAAGUUUGCACAGAUUAUGGGGUGUACGUGGUGGUGACCGACUAUGGUGAAGGAGACGACACAGACUUCGUCCUCAGCCCACGCGCGUAUGGAAGAAUGGCACUUACAGAUAAGUCAGAAGAGCUUUAUACUUUUGGUGUCGUCGACGUUGAAUUCCUGAGAGUCCCUUGCCGGUUCAGAGGCUACAACGUCAUGUUCAAGGUCCAUGAAAACAGCAAGUACCCACAGUACUUGGCCGUAGCCACGCUGUACGUAGGUGGCCAAAAUGACGUCCUAGCAGUUGAAAUGUGGCAGGUAAUUACUUACAAAUUAACUUCUAAACAAUUGAUUUUUGGCCCGUCCAUCGCAUGUAAUGCUUUUGUUGGUGCAGGAGGAUUGUAAAGAAUGGAUGCCGAUGAAAAGGGCUUUCGGUGCAGUAUUUGACAUCUUUUAUCCACCACCAGGACCAAUGAAUUUGAGGUUUCAAGUGAGUGGCAGCGCGGGGCUCACAUGGGUUGUGGCAAACAAUGCUAUUCCCAAAGUAUGGAAGGUUGGAGUUGCUUAUGAGUCAGCAAUUCAGCUUGCAUAAAUUUGAGAUAUCCCAAGCUUUAUUAUUACUGGUUCCGGGUUAUCAGCUUCUUAAUGUCAUUUAGAUAUUCUAGUAUGUUGUUGCCCGGCAUCAGUAAGUGCUGUUACUUUAUCUUCUUUUUUUUAGUUUGUUGCUCAGGGUGUAUUGUGGACUCCUGUCUCCUCAACACUUAACUAGUUGCUAAAUAAAUAGUGGGAUUGUGUACUUUAAGAUCUUUUGAUCUAAGGAGAAAAUUAAUAAAAUUCCGCUCUGGUUAAGAUAAAACCGCUCAUCCGCCUCGUUAGUGGCGUCUCUGUGUGUGUGUGUGUCCUGUUGAAUUUCUUGUGAUUGUUUAAAUAACUCCAUUAUAUUUCCUCUACUAACAGUAAUCAGUAAAAUUGAUGUAUUAUCAAACAAUAUAAAUCGUCGAUAAUAUUUCUUGGUGAUUGCAACAUGUUAAAAAAUAUUUUUCAAAUGUAAAAAUUGUAAAAUAAAUUGUCGAGCCAUUCCAUUUUAGAAUUGGAGAUUAGCCAAAUCUUUUGUCAAUUGUUUAUAAAAGUAUUGUUUAUAAAAGUAUGAUAAAUAUCUACCAACUACUCUUUGUUUUGCACUUUAUAAAAAAUAUACUAAAACUUUUUUUUUUUUGUGGCUAUCCACGUAAAGUUUACAAAAUUAUCACUUUUUUACUUUUUCAUUAACAUAAUUAAAGAUUUAAUAGAAUAUUAAUAAAACGACCACUACAUCGUUAAAAUAUUAUUUAAUCCUAACUCAUAGCUAAAUGAUGAAAAAAAUUCCAAUUUGUAGCUGUUGGAACCAAUAGCAGCUAUAAAUUUAGUUAGAUAAAUUCAUCAAACCUACUAAUUUAACAAUAUAAAAUCACCAAAAUGACCACCAUGACUAAUUUGUAAUUCACUCACAACAAUAUUUUUUUUCGGUGUAUUAAAUCAUCUGGUAUUUGAAGACCACAUUAGGCCCCGACUGAUCCAGCUUCGAGCCGGGUAGGACCACUAGGGCGGCAAAGCUCUCCCAACAAGUAUUUAACGCAGUUGCAUUCCCAAGUCUCGAACCGAGGACCUUGAUUAAGCUAGAACAACCCCAUGCCAGUUGAUCUACGCACUUGUUGGUAAUAAAGCGUAGAAUAUGUUCACCCAUAAAACUACAUAUAAUAAAUGCUUCAACUAACGUACUACAUUAAUUUCAUCUUCAGCUCUUCCGGUAAGCACUGGCUAACGAAUGAUAUUAGGUACACCAUAAAAGGAAUCCAUUUCUCCUAUUUCGGAAGUGUUGUAGUCUUACUGGCAACGACCAGGACAGAACACCCCUUGGAAGCAUCAGAAUACGUUGUGUGUUUUUAAUUUAAUUGCAUUGUGUGUUUUUCAUGUUGGAUUUUGGAAUUGAAUUGUGUGUGGGGUUGAAAUAGUUGUGGAAUUGGUUGAAAUUGUUGUGGAAAGUGGAAUUGAAUUGUGUUUGAAAUGGUUGAGUAAUUUCCGAAUUGGUUGAAAUGGUGGUGGGAAAUGGGAAUUGAAUUGUGGGGUUAACUAUUUCGGUAUGGUCGGGUUGGGCCCGACCUGAUGUUGGCCCGAUUCGGGUCGAGCCUAACUAAAUAGUGUUCGGACUUUUUUAGGGUCGGGUUUCAAAUUUCUUUUGAUCGGGUCGGGUAGGGCUUGGCCGAGCCCGAGCCCGACCCGACAGGAGAAAGUAAAGCGUCCAUAUAUCCCACGCGCAUGUCAUUCAAUUAACUAAUUAUAUCAUCACAUCCCAUCAUCAUUAUCCUAUUAAAUGGAAUGUUCCAAGAAAGUAUUUGUAAGAGUUUUUUUUUUAAGUUUAAUCGUUCGAAAUGAUUAAAAGGUAGAUAAAUAUUGGCGAAUGUUGAGGUAUAUACUUAAAAGUAUCGAAAGAUAUUGAUGAGCUACCAACAUUUGUAUUUUUAUAUUUCCAACGUAUUUUGGUCAACUUUGCAAGCAUCUAAUAGAAAAUCUAUGUAAAAUUUAAAUUAAAAAAUUGAAAAUUACUUAUACAAUUUUGAUCUUACAAAUUUAUAAAAGUUAAAUAAAUAGGUUAGCAACUAUGGGUAUUAAGACAACUUUUGAUAUUACAGCAUGCUUGAAGAAAAUCUUUGAUGUUCUCCUAGCAUUGCACCUUAUCCAUUCAUUACUUACUAUAUAAUUAAUAAAAAUUGAAGUUUUUACAAAAAUUAGAGUUUCCCACAAUUAAUUGAAAGGAUUGUGUAGUAAACAAAGGAUUGUGUAGUAAAGAAAUCAAUGUGGCUUGGGACGAAUUAUUAUUCGAGCAUACAAUUAUGGAAGUCAGUUCCAAUCUUUUAGUGGAGUAGAUUUGGAAUUAAAUAAUUGGGCUAGUUUAAUUACAGGCCUAAUUAUUGUAGCCACUAUUGUAUGUUCCCAAAUGAUCCCCGGGUUAGCUCAUUUAAUUGACUGCACCACUACUGGACUAAUAAGUAAGAUAACUAGCUAUUUGGGUCAAAAGCCUAAAUAUAUCAUUUAGUGGGAGGCUCCAUUUAAUUAGCUUUUGUAUAAGGGGUCUUAUGUUAUUUUACAAGGUGGGUCCCCUAUUGAAAAAGAAAAUAACGUGAGUUUUAUUUAGAGCAUUAUUUGGAGCCUAGGGUUUUCACUAAAUGGAGAUAUAUAAGGCUUAUUUUUCCCAAAAGAAAAAAUGAGAAGCCACUUUAUACAAAUCGGAGAAUAAGAUUUUUCUCUCUAUUGUUGAGAGAAAAAUUUUCUCGUGCUAGUUGCUUUGGUAGUGAUAAAGGCGCCCACACGUCAAGUGCAGAUCGAACCUGAGUCAUAACCUGGAAGAUCAUUGGUGACAGUUCAUGAUCUAACAAGCGUGGUGGUGACGGUUCGUGAUCUAACAAGCGUGGUGGUGACGGAUCGUGAUCUAACAAGAGUGGUGGUGGCGGAUCGUGAUCUAGGAGCCUAAAUCACUUCAGCGGAAAAAGCAAACUCAGAUUUACAAGGUACGAUUUCUAGAAUACGAAUUCUUAUAUAUUAUAUGAGAGCGAUCUUCAAAAGAUUUUAUAAAAAGAGAUUUUUUUAAUAGAGAAUUAGUCUUUGACAAAAAACAUGAGAUUUUUUUAAUAGAGAAUUAGUCUUUGACAAAAAACAUGAGAUUUUUUUAAUAGAGAAUUAGUCUUUGACAAAAAACAUGAGAUUUUUUUAAUAGAGAAUUAGUCUUUGACAAAAAACAUGAGAUUUUUUUAAUAGAGAAUUAGUCUUUGACAAAAAACAUGAGAUUUUUUUAAUAGAGAAUUAGUCUUUGACAAAAAACAUGAGAUUUUUUUAAUAGAGAAUUAGUCUUUGACAAAAAACAUGAGAUUUUUUUAAUAGAGAAUUAGUCUUUGACAAAAAACAUGAGAUUUUUUUAAUAGAGAAUUAGUCUUUGACAAAAAACAAUACCUUAAGUGAAAGGAAUUUAGAUCUAUUGCAAAUAGAUGUAGGCAAUCAGAAACCUAAAAUUAGAACCUUAAUUAAUUUUUGAAAAUACCGUUCACGGUUAUUGUUCAUGCGCAUAAAAAUAUUACUGCUGUACGGCCAAGGCGGAUGUACGGUACAGCAGACGAUGUGGUACAAAGGAUUGUGCAGUAAAGAAAUUAAUGUGGCUUGGGACGAAUUGUUAUUCGAGCAUACAAUUAUGGAAGUCAGUUCCAAUCUUUUAGUGGAGUAGAUUUGGAAUUAAAUAAUUGGGCUAGUUUAAUUACAGGCCUAAUUAUUGUAGCCACUAUUGUAUGUUCCCAAAUGAUCCCCGGGUUAGCUCAUUUAAUUGACUGCACCACUACUGGACUAAUAAGUAAGAUAACUAGCUAUUUGGGUCAAAAGCCUAAAUAUAUCAUUUAGUGGGAGGCUCCAUUUAAUUAGCUUUUGUAUAAGGGGUCUUAUGUUAUUUUACAAGGUGGGUCCCCUAUUGAAAAAGAAAAUAACGUGAGUUUUAUUUAGAGCAUUAUUUGGAGCCUAGGGUUUUCACUAAAUGGAGAUAUAUAAGGCUUAUUUUUCCCAAAAGAAAAAAUGAGAAGCCACUUUAUACAAAUCGGAGAAUAAGAUUUUUCUCUCUAUUGUUGAGAGAGAAAUUUUAUCGUGCUAGUUGCUUUGGUAGUGAUAAAGGCGCCCACACGUCAAGUGCAGAUCGAACCUGAGUCAUAACCUGGAAGAUCAUUGGUGACAGUUCGUGAUCUAGCAAGCGUGGUGGUGACGGAUCGAGAUCUAACAGGAGGUGUGGUGGCGGAUCGUGAUCUAGGAGCCUAAAUCACUUCAACGGAAAAAGUCCAAUCGGAUUUUCAAGGUACGAUUUCUAGAAUACAAAUUCUUAUAUAUUAUAUGAGAGCGAUCUUUAAAAGGUUUUAUAAAAAUAUAAAAACCGGAUUUUUCCCCAACAUUAAGUUCUCCAGAAUCAGAGCAACUGUGGGUAAAGGACCGUCAACUUGCACAAGUUAUCGGCUGUUUUGUACAUUUUGACGCAGUUACUGGUUCGAGUCGUACAUGGGAGUAACAGUUUAAUUAUAUGCAUCCAUCAAAAAUCAGAUUAAUGGAACAAGUGAUAUGACUAACAGCAGGGCACUUAAAUUUAAAUGUAUUGUCCAACAAACAAAUACAACAUAAUGCAAUUUCACGGACGUACAUACACACAGGCAGACACAUACAUCCUCAUAUUUGUGAGCAUAGGUGUGCCAGAAAGAUGCUAGGACUUGGAACAAGUGAUAUAACUAACAGGGCACUUGAAUGUACCUUUCAGAUGAAAAUCAAAACUACUACUGUUAACCUCCCUCAGUACAACCGACCAGUGCAUUCUGAAGAACCACAAAAGCAACUCUUUUUCUUAAUGUUGCCAGAUGAAUCAUAAACUUGAUCUAUCACGUAAUUGUAAUGAUAAGUCAGCUCUUGCAGGGGAGGAAUGUUCUCAGCAGCAAAGAGCAUUAUGUGAGGCGUUCUCUUGUCCUCAUGAUCAUAAAGGACGUUUUGGGCAUAAAGAUUAGGCGAACAACUGUGGUUAACAAAUCUCCCCACAUUGCCAUACUCCACUGCAUCAAUGGUAAAUCCACCAUCCUCCACAACUCCACAAGAACUCAAUGGUGCAUCAGGCAUAACAUUCGAAAGUCCACCCCAAAGAGAACCAUCAUUAUAAUUAUUCCCAAUAUCAAAUAGAUACUCAUCAUUACUGGUUCUUCUUUCCGCUUCCUUCUCUUCAAGGAGCUCCCCCGCGUACUCACAGAUAAAACUUCCCGAAGGAAUGGAAUUUAGGGAUCUCACACCCCAUCCCUGUGCUUCAGUUUUGAUGAUCUCAAGCUGAACUUUGAUACCCUGCUGGCUGACUCUAUUAUAGCAAGAAGCUUCAUUACUCUUUUUCAUUGUUUCACUGGCUUGCAUAAAAAUACAACAUUAUGCAGGCUAAUUAGUUAAAAGGGAAUGGAUAGCUCACCUACCCCAUCUUCCAAUAAAUAGUAAUUUUCCAUUUAUUAAUUGUUCUACAAGCCUCCUCUCUCGUGCAAUAAGUACGCAUGGUUUUUUUUUUUUUUUUUUCCAUACGUCGCACCAAACGUGUCAAAAACCACAAAGUUUAAAAUUGAUUUUGUGUUUUGCAGUGCAACAACUGCUAACUCAAUUAUGAUUAAUGAGUGCUUCCGUCCCUAAUUGUUAUAGCUAAAUACGUUUGCCUGGCUUGACCCGUUUACUAGUGCGUUACAACCAAAAGACUGAUGGUGAUCGAGUGGGUUAAUCCAGUUGUUGUGAGCGUAUAGCAUUUGCUUUUGACUCGACAAAGCAAUUUAAAAAAACGCCAUUUUGGAUACCCGUACGUCACGUACUAAAUCCAAUUGCUUGGUGUGGUCUCCCUAUUAGCCUUCGGUUCUUGACCAAUAAGUAAUUUCCAGCUAGUUUCCAUAGGUUUUAAUUCCACCAUUUACUUAGCAUAAUGAUCGAGAAUAGGGAUGGCAAUGGGGUGAGGUGGACGUGGAGAGGCUUAUCCUAUUCCCCAUUCUAUUAAAAAUGUUGCCUCUAUUAUUCAACUCAUUCUCCAUUAAAUUUAGAGGGACGGGGACAAAAAAUCCCGAUAUGGAGAAUAAUUUCCUCAUUCCUAUCUCAUUCUCCAUUUAUUUAUUUCAUAAUAAGCAUGGAUAUGUGGUUUUAUUACAUUAAAAAUUAGAGACUUAAAUAAAAUCAUUAUCAUAUUAUAAAGUAUUUAAAUUAUUUUAAAAAAUCUCCAAAAUUUUGAAACAAUAUCUUCAAUUGAUAUCAAAACUGAAAAAUAUUUGGAGAGAGCACCACUUAAUAAAGAAAAGAAAACAUAAUAAUAUUUUAGAGUUGAAUAAGAAUUAUAUUAUAAGGUUUUCUUUUAAUUAUAAGUUGUUUAUAUUAGGUAAAAAUUAACAAGAAAAUUUGUUAACCGACAUUGUAUUUGAUAAAACAAAAAAUAGUAAAUAAAAAUUAAAAAAUAUUUAUAUAUAAUGGAGAGUGAGGUGGUGGUGGGGUGGAGAAUACAAAAUCAAAUCACAUCCCAUUAAGAGUUUGAGGAUUAUUUUUCCCUCAUUCCCUACUCUAUUCCCUAAAAAUUAUUUGAACACCAUGAGAACCCAAACCCUUGUAAGAUUUUGCCAUCUCUAAUUGCGAAAUCUUGAGUUUUCUCUUGCACGCAAGUCACAAGGUGUGUGCUAUUAGAUCUUUUGGCAUAAUUCAGCUGGUUGUAGAUAUUUUCACCCAAAUUCAAAUAGCAAUAAAGAACAAUGAUUGGUGUUUAGUGGUUUAAGUUUUUCAUCUCCAUUCAAUUUUUAAAAUAAAUAAAAAGAUAAAUAAUUUAUGCUAUUAGAACGUCUAAACGAAGCAAAACCAAACCAGUAAUUAACAAUUACAAAACAAUUACUUGGUUUAUAAUAAUGGCAUGGGAGGUGAUUUUAUGAUUUUAUUGGUUGCUUUACAACGGUUGAGACUCACUCUCAGCUACCGUCACUGACUCGUGUAGCACUACUUCAAAAGUCUCUGGGUGGCAAACGAAGUAUCCAAAAUAUGAAGGAGAGACAAGUGUUAGGCGUAAAGUGAAAAACCUUUAUAUGGAAUUUGUAACUUUCUGCUAAUAAUUAUGAUAAUGAGUCGAAUUCAUUUCAAGUAAGGGUCUUGAGGGGUCAAUAAUGGGGUCUACAUUUACGCAUCAUCAAUCUAAUCUAACUCUCUAGUCCCAAGAGGAAGAAUAGAGGUGGCAAUUUCCCCUUAGCAGCAGCCCUCAAGGCCUCUACUAUAAAUAUGGCCAUUAACAUUUGUUAGCAACCCAUCUCAUAAGCUUCCUCCUUCGUACUGCUAACAAAGAUUUUGAUAUUUUGCAAAUGGGGUUAUGUCAAUACUACCUUCUUUCCGUCGUGAUGCUUUUGCCUGCAUUGUGUUACUCUCAGUACUCAUUCACAAAUUCUAGAGCUACAUACUAUGGUAGCCCUGACGGUUUGGGGACACCAAGUAUGUAAAAAUCUCACCUUUAUAAAGCUAUGUACAUUAAACUCGUGCACAAGUUUACGCGAACUAAUAGUUCAUUUCAUUAUGCUUUAGAGAAGUUUUGUUUUGGUAUUUGUUUAUCUUUUAGAUUAACUAAUGUUCAUGUUGAUGAUUCAUCAGCUGGUGCUUGCGGGUUUGGUGCAUAUGGAAAAACUGUAAAUGAUGGUAACGUGGCCGGUGUGUCGAGCCUUUGGAAUAAUGGAACUGCUUGUGGAGCUUGCUAUCAGGUAAUGAUUAUUAACUUUCAACCCACUCAAUCAUUGCAGUUUAUUGUAAAGCUAUAUAAUAAAUGUGUAAAAUGAACGAAUUGCUAAGACGGGUAAGCCUAUGCAUGCGUGAAAGGAACUUGAAAACUUUAUUUAUUUAAAUUGUAUUGUUUAUAUAUAUAUAUAUAAAGGUAGUUGCAUGCAUAUUCUUCAUAAGACUGCUUAAAUCAUUUCAAAUUCAAUAUCGUCAACAAUUUUGUUACCACUAGUAAUUCUUUUGGUUUUGUACCACCAAUUAAUAAUGAUUAGUUAAUUAAUUAACUUCAGGUCAGAUGCAAUGUACCAGAAGUUUGCACAGAUUAUGGGGUGUACGUGCUGGCGACUGACUAUGGUGAAGAAGACGACACAGAAUUCAUCCUCAGCCCACGCGCAUAUGGAAGAAUGGCACUUACAGAUAAGUCAGAAGAGCUUUAUACUUUUGGUGUCGUCGAUGUUGAAUUCCUGAGAGUCCCUUGCCGGUUCAGAGGCUACAACGUCAUGUUCAAGGUCCAUGAAAACAGCAAGUACCCACAGUACUUGGCCGUAUCCAUGCUGUACGUAGGUGGCCAAAAUGACGUCCUAGCAGUUGAAAUAUGGCAGGUAAUUACUUACAAAUUAACUUCUAAACAAUUGAUUUUUGGCCCGUCCAUCGCAUGUAAUGCUUUUGUUGGUGCAGGAGGAUUGUAAAGAAUGGGUGGCGAUGAGAAGGGCUUUCGGUGCAGUAUUUGACAUCUUCAAUCCACCACCAGGAGCAAUUAAUUUGAGGAUGCAAGUGAGUGGCAGCGCAGGGCUCAGAUGGGUUGUGGCAAACAAUGUUAUUCCCAAAGUAUGGAAAGCUGGAGUUGCUUAUGGGUCAGCAAUUCAGCUUGCAUAAAUUUGAGAUAUCCCAAGCUUUAUUAUUACUGGUUCCGGGUUAUCAGCUUCUUAAUGUCGUUUAGAUAUUCUAGUAUGUUGUUGCC
rnacentral:lncRNA from 1 species